rnacentral:rRNA from 1 species
UAACACGUGGGUGAUCUGCCCUGCACUUCGGGAUAAGCCUGGGAAACUGGGUCUAAUACCGGAUAUGACCUCUGGGUGCAUGCCUGGGGGUGGAAAGGUUUACUGGUGCAGGAUGGGCCCGCGGCCUAUCAGCUUGUUGGUGGGGUAAUGGCCUACCAAGGCGACGACGGGUAGCCGGCCUGAGAGGGCGACCGGCCACACUGGGACUGAGACACGGCCCAGACUCCUACGGGAGGCAGCAGUGGGGAAUAUUGCACAAUGGGCGAAAGCCUGAUGCAGCGACGCCGCGUGAGGGAUGACGGCCUUCGGGUUGUAAACCUCUUUCAGCAGGGACGAAGCGAGAGUGACGGUACCUGCAGAAGAAGCACCGGCCAACUACGUGCCAGCAGCCGCGGUAAUACGUAGGGUGCGAGCGUUGUCCGGAAUUACUGGGCGUAAAGAGCUCGUAGGCGGUUUGUCGCGUCGUCUGUGAAAACCAGCAGCUCAACUGCUGGCUUGCAGGCGAUACGGGCAGACUUGAGUACUGCAGGGGAGACUGGAAUUCCUGGUGUAGCGGUGAAAUGCGCAGAUAUCAGGAGGAACACCGGUGGCGAAGGCGGGUCUCUGGGCAGUAACUGACGCUGAGGAGCGAAAGCGUGGGUAGCGAACAGGAUUAGAUACCCUGGUAGUCCACGCCGUAACGGUGGGCGCUAGGUGUGGGUUUCCUUCCACGGGAUCCGUGCCGUAGCUAACG